UACAGAGGGUGCAAGCGUUGUUCGGAAUUAUUGGGCGUAAAGCGCGUGUAGGCGGCCUGUUAUGUCGGGUGUGAAAGCCCUCAGCUUAACUGAGGAAGUGCGCCCGAAACUGGCAGGCUUGAGUACCGGAGAGGAGAGCGGAACACCCGGUGUAGAGGUGAAAUUCGUAGAUAUCGGGUAGAACACCAGUGGCGAAGGCGGCUCUCUGGCCCGGUACUGACGCUGAGGUGCGAAAGCGUGGGGAGCAAACAGG
rnacentral:rRNA from 1 species